UCUGAGGGGCAACAAGGGGGGAAGUUCUGAGGGGACUUACCCUGCUACCCCACGAAGGGAGUCACAAUGCUUUAAGGAUAAUCUGUCAUAUUUACAGAGGGUGUGACCUGCAGGUGUAACCUCACAGCUGGAGUUCAUUAGGGCUUAUUAGGAAGAGCAAGUUUCCUGAGGUAGAUGGCAGCUUGUUCUGCUCACAUCCUUGUUAAUCAAGUUCUCUUCUUCUCUGUGUCUAACAUUCCUGGCAUUCUUGCACUUACCUUUGCUGUUUCACUUCAACAGAAACGUAUUUACUUUGUUGAUGCUAAAACUGCUUUCUUGUUGUUUGUGGAAGAUUCUUCUCAAGAAUCUCCUCACUUCUUCUCCGGCCGCCCUCCUGUUACAAGUUCUCCUUUAUAACUCAUCGCUCACUCAGCAGUCUGUCCACCCUCCAGCAUUUCACUGAACCACUACUACAACCGGGACAAAAGGAUACAAUCACUAACUCCACUAUUCCCCAAUUUCCUGCCAACCUCAGCAUCUGUGGAUAUACUCACCUCUUCUGCACCACUAAGAAACCAUCUCCACUCCUUUUACAACGCAUUCUUAACCCAUUUCAGUUUUAGAUAGUAACCUCUCCUCCUAGUGCCAUCCUGGGUUCUUGCUGUAAACCAAGAAGAACCAACUCACUGUGCACAUUUACCAAUAAACCUUUCAGACUUUCUUUUGGUGUCUGUGAUUGUUGACUGCAUGACAGUCUGAUUCCUAAACUUUCAUAGAGGGUUCCUUAAGUUGUUCAUAACUAUUUGUUACACACAACUGAACAUAAAAUAAUGACAUUGUAUUCCCUCAGACAAGUAGCACUACAUUACACUAGCAUUAAGUCUAACUCCAUAUAUAUGGACGUCUUCUAAAAUGGAUGGACUUGGCUCUAACCUGACAUUUUGUAGAUGACAACUCAUAUGUCAAGUCAACAAUACUCAGUGUAUUGAAAUCCCUUCAGGCACAUACAGUUGAAAAUCUAGCCAAUGUGAAAUCUUCCUUUAUGUAAACAUAGUGGAUAAAAUAAAAGGUAACGUGGUAAAGAGCUGCUGCUGCGCCAUGCGGUGCAUUGUUUACUUUCUGAACCUAGUUAUUAAAACACCUCUUAAAUUGAGCCCAGUAGGGUACAACGUUCAAAACCAGCAGGGCCAAAGUCACUUUCUAUCUUUAAAUGAAAAGCUGGAAACAAAAAUAAAACAGACACGAUAGGUUGACACUAAAUGGAACAGCACCUUUCAAAUGCUGGAGUGAUUACAAAAACCCAGGAAACCUUUAGAAGGAGCUUUGGUGGGACUCCAAACACAUAUUCCUGUGCUCACAUAUGAGCAGUAGUGGGUGUCCGACCUUCUUGUUUCACUUUCAUGAGAUCAUUAUGGGGCCGUCAGAAUAGAAAAAACUAUCUGGCACCAAAGUGAAGGAACUACUUAAAAUGGUAAAAAAGAUGCUCCAGACUGGAAGAAGCAACAUUGGCAAUGGUCCCUAAAGCUUAGGGAAUUAAAGAGACCCAACUUAGGCUCUUUAGAAUAUUGCUCCACAAAGUCCAAAGCAGGAGUAUUGUGCUGAUACAAAUCAUGCCAACAAAGAAUGUUGACAUGAUUGCUGAAUGUUACAAAUGCCAGAGUAUUGUUGGUGAGGGCAGAUAUAAGGAUGCCAGAUCAUCUCUCUUUCGGCCACUCAGCAUCCAGGGCCAGCAGGUGAAGUUUUUUAGAUACCUUGGGACAGAAAUUGACACCCAGCUGUCUUUGAAAGAGCGCAGAGACUAAUUUCUUUUAAAAAAAAGCAUAACUUAUUUAAGUUAAGACCAGAUCUUUAAUUUACUCAGCCCCCAUUUUUGUGUUUUAGUGUGUUUGAUAUGUGCAUCUUAACUUUUUUAUUGUAUUUUAAGUACAGGAAUGUUGUUUUUUGAUCCAUGUCAAAGAAAGAUUUGUCACCAUCUGGAAUAGACAAGUUUUUUCUGUUUUAUUUUAUUCCAGUCUCAAAGCACUUUACAAUAAAAAAGUAAGUUCAAUCAUACAGAUUCCAAGUCAAGUCGAUUCAUUACAAUCAGGGCUUGACAUUAACUUUUUUUGUUCACCAGCCACUGUGGCUAGUGGUUUUCCUAAGUUACAAGCCACUCCGCAUUUUGAUCAGCCACAAUUUUGUUGUUGAGAAUUUGUUUAAUAUGAUUAAAGCUGACUAUAGCAUGCUAAAGUUUACUUUAACUAGAUUUACAACAUUUUAAAUGUAAAUGGCCCUUUUACACAAUCAUAUCGAGACUACAUAAAAUGUUUACCACUUCGGGUCAUUAUCAAGUAUUCAGCUCAGACAAGGUUCUGUGUAAAGCUCCUUUUACUGUAUAUGAAAAUGUGCAGUGAUCAAUGGUGCCAGGUCUCGUGAGAGAAAAAAGCAACCAGCUCUAUCAAAACAAGCCCAAAAGAAGCACAACCGGCUUUACACCACUGUGUAAAACAGAGGCUGCUUGUAAACAGCAUAAAUGUAUACAUUUAUUAUGGCAUAAUACAAAAGCAACAGCAAAAUUAUUAUUAACACUUUUACCAUAAACAUUUUGAAUAACUGAUCAAAAGAAAAGUGGAUUUUGCAUACCUAACAGCAAAAUGACAAUAAACAUAGUCAAGAACAAACUUUCUUUAAAGUCUGUUUAAAAGAAAAGGAAUGGUGAGCACAUAUUUUACACUGCGGAAUCAGAAGGGAGGCUCCCAUCUCAGGUCCUAUCCUGUCUUGCAGUGCGCUCUCUUUCUCCCACUCUGUAUUCAAAUUAUUCCCAUAUUUUCCCCCAUUUACUGCAUCUCGUUCUGACGCUAUCUCCUCACUCGUUUCCCUGUCACUCUGGGCUCUGGCGUGAGUGUGUUCGGGGUGUGCAGUCAUCUGGUGGGAGCUAUAACCAGAAAACAGCGAGGUGGAAAGGACAAACUAUCUACCACUUGUGUUUUGCUUUAUUGUGGGAGCUGGGAGAUAAUCAAGGGGUUUUACUCGGAAAGAAUGCCAAGCCCAAU